rnacentral:rRNA from 1 species
AGCAGCCGCGGUAAUUCCAGCUCCAAUAGCGUAUAUUAAAGUUGUUGCAGUUAAAAAGCUCGUAGUUGAAUUUCGGGAUUUGUCAGUUGGUCGGGCUUCACUGUCCGUACUGACUUGAUGGACUCUUACCUUCUGAAUAACCAGCAUGCUAUUUAGUUAGUGCGUUGGGGAAGCAGAUCUAUUACCUUGAAAAAAUUAGAGUGCUUAAAGCGGGCUAGUGCUUGAAUAGAUUAGCAUGGAAUAAUAAAAUAGGACGGCAUGGUUCUAUUUUGUUGGUUUCUAGGAUCACCGUAAUGAUUAAUAGGGAUAGUUGGGGGCAUUAGUAUUCAAUUGCCAGAGGUGAAAUUCUUGGAUUUAUUGAAGACUAACUUCUGCGAAAGCAUUUGCCAAGGAUGUUUUCAUUAAUCAAGAACGAAAGUUAGGGGAUCGAAGACGAUCAGAUACCGUCGUAGUCUUAACCAUAAACUAUGCCGACUAGGAAUCGGACGAAGUUAAUUUUAUAAUGACUCG